AUGGCUCAUCCAGUUCAAUUAGGCCUUCAAGACGCUACAUCCCCUAUCAUAGAAGAACCGCUCACUUUCCGUGACCACGUUCUUAUAAUUAUUUUCCUAAUUAGUUCCUGGUUCUAUACAUUAUUUCCGUAAUACUCACAACAAAAUUAACUCAUAUUAGCACCACAGAUGCCCAAGAAAUUGAGACUGUUUGAACUAUCUUACCUGCCAUUAUCUUAAUUUUAAGGCCUCUCAUCCCUACGUAUUCUGUAUAAAACAGAUGAAGUUAAUAAUCCUUCCCUUACUGUCAAAGCAAUUGGUCAUCAAUGAUAUUGAAGCUAUGAAUAUAUAGACUAUGAAGAAUUAAGCUUCAAUUUUCAAUUCUUAUAUAACCCCAACACCAGACUUAAAACCAGGAGAACUUCGACUCCUUGAAGUUGAUAACCGAACAAUUCUCCCAACAGAAAUACCCAUCCAUAUAUUAAUCUCAUCUGAAGACAUCCUGCACUCAUGAACUAUCCCCUUAUUAGGCCUCAAAACAGAUGCAAUCCCCAGAUGCUUAAAUCAAACUACCUUAACCACUGGGCGACCAGGUCUUUACUAUGGACAGUGCUCAGAAAUUUGUGAAUCUAACCAGUUUUAUACCUAUUGUCCUAGAACUAAUCCUCUUAAAAUAUUUCAAAACCUGAUCCACAUCUACA
rnacentral:lncRNA from 1 species